GGAUCACUGGUGUAGUGGUUUGAGUGCUGGACAACAGCUCUCGAGUCCAAGGUUCGAUUCCUAGCUUGGCCA